UACGAAGGGGGCUAGCGUUGUUCGGAAUUACUGGGCGUAAAGCGUAUGUAGGCGGAUCUGUAAGUCAGGGGUGAAAUCCCGGGGCUCAACCUCGGAACUGCCUUUGAUACUGCAAAUCUCGAGUCCGGAAGAGGUGAGUGGAAUUCCUAGUGUAGAGGUGAAAUUCGUAGAUAUUAGGAAGAACACCCGUGGCGAAGGCGGCUCUCUGGAACGCAACUGACGCUGAGACGCGAAAGCGUGGGGAGCAAACAGG
rnacentral:rRNA from 1 species